ACUCCCAGUUUUGGAUGCAAGGAUCUUUUGGAACCCACACCAUCCAGUGACUCAUCUGAAACCAACUCAUAUUUUUCCCUUCAGAAUUCUUUUAUUAAGUGGCAGCCAAAUGAUUUGGAAUAUUCCUCUGCGAGAAUGAAGUUGAUACAACACUGGUGAAUCAAGUCAGAGGCUGUGGUUGCCCUCUUGGGUACCUAUUCCACUGAGAAUUUCAUAGAACUUUAAUCUUUGUGACCAGACAUUAAUAAAGGAGAUCAACAGGACACUUUCUUUCUUUUUGAGUGGCACAAGCAAUUUGAAGAUUAUAAGUGAAGUUGUAUCACCUUCCUUGAAGGGCAAGAUGAAGAAAUUGAAGCUCAGGAACAUUUAUGUUGUUUUUCAAGGGGAUAAAAUGAGCAUCACAAAAACCUUCAACCCACGUGAAAAUAAGCAAUGGCCAUUUUGAAGAUAAUGGAGGGGUCAUUUGGAAUAUCUCAGUGGGGACCCAGAACUGAUGAGUAUGUGUGUACCCUUACACAUAGAAAGAUGGAGGUUGGAAGAUGCCAAUCGGCUGGCUGCUGGGGAGUCUGCGCUGAUACGGGUAUCAUGGUGAACCACAAUUUCAAA